rnacentral:rRNA from 1 species
GCAAGUUGGAGGAAGGUGGGGAUGACGUCAAAUCAUCAUGCCCCUUAUGUCUAGGGCCACAAACGUGCUACAAUGGUCGGUACAAACAGUCGCUAAUUCGUAAGAUAGAGCUAAUCCUAAAGCCGAUCUCAGUUCGGAUAGAGGGCUGAAAUUCGCCCUCUUGAAGUUGGAAUCACUAGUAAUCGCGAAUCAGCCAUGUCGCGGUGAAUACGUUCUC